AACGAACGCUGGCGGCAUGCCUAACACAUGCCAGUCGUACGAGACCUUCCGGUCUAGUGGCGCACGGAUAGUUACCGCGGGGGAACCUGCCCAUAGGUUAGGUAUACCGCCGAGCAAGAUGGGCUACUACAGGAGAAGGUCUUAGCACCAAAGGUGUAGCGCCCGUGAAUGGGCCCGCGUAGGAUUGGCAGGUUGGUAGGGUAAAAGCCUACCAAUGCUACGUUGCAUAGCUGGUCUGGGCGGAUGAUCAGGCACAUUGGGAAUGAGACACGGUCCAGACUCCUGCGGGAGGCAGCAGUGGGGGAUAUUGGACGAUGGGCGAAAGCCUGAUCCAGCCAUGCCGGGUGAGGGAUGAAGGCUUGAGGGGUGUAAAGCUCUUUUAACCGGGAGGAUAAUGACGGUACCGGGAGAAGAAGCGCCGGCUAACUCCGUG
rnacentral:rRNA from 1 species